AUUGAACGCUGGCGGCAGGCCUAACACAUGCAAGUCGAACGAGUGGCGGACGGGUGAGUAAUGUCUGGGAAACUGCCCGAUGGAGGGGGAUAACUACUGGAAACGGUAGCUAAUACCGCAUACCAUCGGAUGUGCCCAGAUGGGAUUAGCUUGUAGGUGAGGUAACGGCUCACCUAGGCGACGAUCCCUAGCUGGUCUGAGAGGAUGACCAGCCACACUGGAACUGAGACACGGGCCAGACGCCGACGGGAGGCAGAAUGGGGGAAUAUGGCACAAGGGGCGCAAGUUUGAUGCAGCCAUGCCGCGUGUAGGAAGAAGGACUUCGGGUUGUAAAGUACUUUCAGCGGGGAGGCGGGAGCCGCAGAAGAAGCACCGGCUAACUCCGUGCCAGCAGACGCGGUAAUAA
rnacentral:rRNA from 1 species